rnacentral:rRNA from 1 species
CCCUUAGAUGUUCUGGGCCGCACGCGUGCUACACUGAUGCAUUCAACGAGUCUAAAACCUGGUCUGAUAGGGCUGGGUAAUCUUUUGAACGUGCAUCGUGAUUGGGAUAGAUGAUUGCAAUUCUUCAUCUUCAACGAGGAAUGCCUAGUAAACGCAAGUCAUCAGCUUGCAUUGAUUACGUCCCUGCCCUUUGUACACACCGCCCGUCGCUCCUACCGAUUGAAUGAUCCGAUGAAUACCAUGGAUUGAGAGUACGAAUAGGUUCGCUUAUUUCUGCUGCUCGAGAAGUGGAGUAAAUCUUAUCAUUUAGAGGAAGGAGAAGUCGUAACA